rnacentral:rRNA from 1 species
GAUGAACGCUGGCGGCGUGCUUAACACAUGCAAGUCGAACGGAAAGGCUCCUGCUUGCCGGGGUACUCGAGUGGCGAACGGGUGAGUAACACGUGGGUGAUCUGCCCUGCACUUCGGGAUAAGCCUGGGAAACUGGGUCUAAUACCGGAUAGGACGAAGGUUUGGAUGCCAUUGUGGAAAGUUUUUCGGUGUGGGAUGAGCUCGCGGCCUAUCAGCUUGUUGGUGGGGUAAUGGCCUACCAAGGCGUCGACGGGUAGCCGGCCUGAGAGGGUGUACGGCCACAUUGGGACUGAGAUACGGCCCAGACUCCUACGGGAGGCAGCAGGGGGGAAUAUUGCACAAUGGGCGCAAGCCUGAUGCAGCGACGCCGCGUGGGGGAUGACGGCCUUCGGGUUAUAAACUCCUUUCGCUAGGGACGAAGCGCAAGUGACGGUACCUGGAGAAGAAGCACCGGCUAACUACGUG